rnacentral:rRNA from 1 species
AUUUUCUGCCACCGAAUACAUUAGCAUGGGAUAAUGGAAUAGGACCCUGUCCUCCUAUUUUCAGUUGGUUUUGGCAGCGCGAGGACUAGGGUAAUGAUUAAUAGGGAUAGUUGGGGGCAUUAAUAUUUAAUUGUCAGAGGUGAAAUUCUUGGAUUUAUGAAAGAUUAACUUCUGCGAAAGCAUCUGCCAAGGAUGUUUUCAUUAAUCAAGAACGAAAGUUAGGGGAUCGAAGACGAUCAGAUACCGUCGUAGUCUUAACCAUAAACGAUGCCGACCAGCGAUUAGGAGACGUUGAAUACAAAACACCACCAUCGGUGCGGUCGUCCUUGGCGUCGGUUUCGGCCGGCGCGGGGGCGGCUUAGCCCGGUGGCACCGGUGAAUGACUCCC